ACCCCUAAAUAUUUCACAAAAUGACAACGUUUAUCCCUCUAUAAUCUCGCGACCUUCACACUCUCUGACCUUCACUCUCACAGACUGCUCUUCUCACUGUUCUUCUUCUUCCUCCCCCUGCAUCUCAAAAUUCCAUCUCAAUUAAGGAAGUUAAUUGCUAACAACAAUCAGCUACUCAUCAUAAGGAUGGGAAAGAAUGUGGGAAGUUCAU